CAUAAGAACUGCAUUUAUUUCUAUAAUUCCCCAUUUGAAUGGCCUUUUCUUUUUCCUUCGACAAUGCCUUCGCCUAGCCACAGCAGCUCCCUCAUACAGACUCCGCAAGCCAAGAGGCCGUGGAGGCAAAUGCAGACAGCCAGCACACCUCGAACAGCCACCUUGACUGCGGGUGUGUCACCCUAGUCGCCAAGGAAACAUUUGAGGGAAAGCGACAGGCAAUGUGAACAGCCACUUCUCCAUGUAAACGAUACUCUUUCUCUCGGAUGACUCCUACGUUCGCCACGCCAGCACACUUGUGCACAAAGAUGCCGCGGAGGCACGUGCAGGUCAGAGGCAAGAAGCAGUGGCACUGGUGUCGACAUUCGCCCAAUUUCUUUUUCUUACACUGAGGCAGCCAGCACACCUCGAACAGCCACCUUAACUGCGGGUGUGUUAGUAGAUUCCUGUUGUACAUAUGCUCAUAAUAAACUUCAGUAAACUUUAACUUGAUAAUAAACUUGAAGGCAAAUGGGA
rnacentral:lncRNA from 1 species